GGAGCGGAACGGCGUCAUCGGAGGCUUCGCUUGAAAAAGAGGAGGAACGGCGACAGCUGCCGGCCCACGAGAGCAUACCAUCUCCGGGCUCGAUGCUGUAUGAGGAGAGAUGGCAGCGCUGCACCAGCUCCAGAGUUCAGCCAAGGGCUAUGUGUGCCAAGGGCGCAGGCAGACUAGGCAAGGCUGCCAGUUGGAAAAGGGGUGGCAGAAAGAGGUUUAAAAUUGUGUGGCAAGAAAAUAAGCCAGCAGCAAUACAAAAGCAACUGCACGAGGUAAAUGAGCCCUGGAGGGGGAGAUAGCUGGAGGCUAGUGGGGCCUCCUUCCAGGGAGCAGAACCAUGCAAGAAGCACAGCUGGGUACCCACCUGCCUCUGAGGGUACCAGCUAAUGCCAAGCUCAGAAAAGGAAAUGUGUAGAGAAAGCCAGCUGAGACAAAAGCUACCAUAGCAGUUGCUCUCUUGCAACCUUUCUAACAAGCUCUUCCACACAGUUUUGACCCAGGAGGGCUGCAAACACACACCUCCACACUGGCUGCACGCUCCAUCUCUCAUCCUUAUUACAUCCUGUACAGUCACAUCUGACCUUCACAAACCCACCUCAGCUCUUCCCUUCUUUUCCUGCUCACUGGAUUUCUUCAUCUCUUUCCUUGCUGGAUACCCUAACACAAGAUGCCCACCCCUGGACCUUCUAGCUAGUAAUAGCUAUAGACCACCUGCUUGUGGCACCACUGUAUGCUGUGUCCUUGGACACCUUUUGUCUGCUGUCCAUAUAUAAACCAUGCUGUUCAUGGUGGCUGCCUCAUCAAUAUAGCUGGUAUUUUGUGUCAUGGGAUCCUGCUUGGCUGGCUUCUAGGGCUAGUAGACCUGGCCUGACAUGUUCAGUAGGUUGCCUGUGUUGGUACCUGAAUUUGCCAGGGGUAGCUGAACUGUAGGCAUAGAGGAAGAGAUAUAUUUGGAAAGUGUGAUGAGGUAGUGACACCCAUUUUAAGGAUGGAGGUUGUUCAUUCUUGCCCAGGUUUUCAUCUGCUUGUGGGACAAUACCAGGUUUAUCCCAAAGCUGGUAUUUUGAUCUAUAACAUGGAUACGUUUCUCAGUGAGGCAUAUUGUCCUCACUCUCUCAGGGAACUGACAUCUCUUUGGCAAUCGACUGAUUAAAUCCCCUGGCAGCACGCAGCAGAGAGUGUUUCAGCACAUCAUUUCUGGCUUUUUUUCCAUUGCAUGGAAAUAGAGUGCAUCUUUUCCUAUUUGGUAACUUCUCUGGUUGGCGUUGUUUAAGGUUUCAGAAAUAUGCAGUAACUGAGAGUUAUAGUCUCCGUUACCUUUCAUGUGCUGGCCUGCCUGAAUCAUUGCAUUUAUAGUCUCAUCCACAACUCUUAAGGGCAAAGAGCAGAAACCAAAUACCUGGGAUAUACUCUGGAAUUUGAAGCAUAUGUAACAAUGUUCCAUAGCUUUUUCACUGAAAGAAAUAGGUUGCUCCAGACCUGGGGACGUCAGAGUCUCUGUUGGGCAGGAACUCAGUAACUCAGGACUGUUGUGGGAUUGAUCAACCUUAGCUACAUGCUGAGUUUAGUCUGCUGCUGAAGUAAGGACAGUCAGUUACUUAACUCUCUGGCCAAUGCACCACGAAUAUACAUCCCAUAAUUUGGAAGGAGGAUAAGGAAUCACCGAGUGUAUCAGGAAAGCCAGAGGAAGUGUGCCUGAGUACAUUCAGCACAGGACAAAAGUCACAAUCCCAUCAGAAGUGCCUGAGGGGGAUCUCCAUUGCAUGGCCAUAGCCAAAAGCAUACCAUAUGUGUGCAGGCAGAACCUGUUCCAGUGGGGUGAUAGCAUCUCUGUGGCAAUAGCCUCAACAGGCUUGAAUCAAAAUGGAUUUUAAGAGAUCACUACAAAAACUCUCAAGAAGCAUUUUGAACAUGAGUUGACAGUGAGCCCUUAAAGCAAUGGAGGCUCCCUGCAAACUGGGCUGUGUUAUCAAAAGUGUGGCUGGCAGGUCAAGGGAAAUGGUUAUUCCCCUCCACUUGAGAGGGGCAAGGCCACAUCUGGAAGAUUGUGUCCGAGGCUGGGCUCCCCAGUACAAGAUGGAUGUUGACAAACUGGAGCAAGUACAGCAAAAGGACCCCACAGUGGAGGGCUGUAGCACAUGAUGUUCAGGGAUAAGUCUGGAGGAGCUGGGUUUGUUCAGUAUGGAGAAGCAAAGACUGAGGAGGCAUCCAAUUGCUGUCAGCCAUUAUCUACAGGGAAGUUACAGAGAAGAUGAAGCCAGACUUUGAGAAGGGGAGACAGAGAAAGGAAGAGAGACAGUGGACACAAUUUGCAACAAGUGACACUGACUAUAUAUAAGGAAAAACUUCUUCCCCUUGAGAGUAGUUCAGCAGUGGAACAGGUGCCCAGAGAGGCUGGGGAAUCUCCGCCCUUGGAGAUGUUGAGAAGUUGCAUGGACAAGGCCCUGAGCAACCUCAUCUAGUUUGGCAAUUACCCUGCUGCAAGUAGGGGAUUGGACUAGAGACUUCUAGAAGUCCCCUCCCACCUAAAUCUUUUUGUGAGUCAGAGAUCUUGGUUUGUGCUGCUGAUCUGCCAUGAGCAAAUGCUCGGUAUGUUCAUAACACUGGAAGCCAGAAGUGUAGUGUGCCUGUUUCAUUCUGUGGAAAUGCAGCUAUGAUGACAGCAAUGUUAGCCUCUGUAAAGUCCUUGCACGUGAACAGCUCUUCUCCAGCUGGCUUGCCACACUCUGUAGCCCUCCUCAACCCAUCUUACUUCUGUUCCAAGGACAGGAAGAUCUGUUUGGUUUAUGGGCGACCCCCUAAGCUGUGACAUGCAAAUUCUUCUGAACUGCAGCAGUCACAGAAAUGCCAUUUAACUCAAUGAGAAGAGUCUUCCUCCCCACCUCCCCACCUUGGCGUCUUCGGAAGCAGAGAAACUUUAAUAACUCCUUUGCAUUCUUGGCUUAGGUGUCUGUGUGUUUGUGUGCAGUCAGAAUACAUAACAAUGCCUUUCAGGGAAUCUUUAUUCUCAUCCAGAAGUUCUACAGUCACUUCACAGGUUCCCGCUUCUUAAGAAUUGUCACUAACCACUUAGUCCAUUAGCCUAAACUGUAACAUUUAAUCCACGAUUAGAUCAUGGCAGUGGAUGCUUGGGUGAUGUGCUCCUCCUCAUGCCACCUUCAGUGCUCUCCAGAGCAUUGCAGAAGCACCUUUCUGGGUCUUUACAGCUGUUUCAUAUCAUUUCUCAAUAAGAAGGAAGAUGCUGAAAAAGGGAGGAGAAAAGGAUAGAAGAGAGGGUGGAGCAAAGCAAGUUAUCGUAUCAGAGCAGAAGUAAAAAUCAAGAAGCUGUAACACAUCAAGACUGGAGCUCACCAGCUCACCUCCAUAUUUGUUUUUUUUCAAAACUGACCUGGGAAACUGCAGUUUUGGGAGCAAAAAUUUGCAGCUGAUCCAUCAAAUUCAAGGUAAGAACUCCAGGACUGGAAAAAACGGAGCUAUAUUUCAGGAACAGAGAAAACAAAGUACACUGGGCAGCUGCACACCCAUUAGUGUGGUCUCAAUAGAGUGUAAGGUUAAGAACAAAUUACAGAGGAAAACAAAAUUAAAGCCACAGCAGUAAGUGGAAAAUGGAAUCCCAGAAUGGGUUUAUCAACAAAAGCAAUGUGUGCUAGUAACUUGAUCCUUUUCUUUACCUCCUUUUCCUUACCUGGAUUAAAAAAAAAAAAAAAAAAAAGGAAAUCGGUCGACCUAAUAUGGCUGGAUUUUGGUAGGGCAUUUGAUUCAGUGAGGAAUGGAAAGCAGCUAGAUAAACUGAAGCAAAAGGAAUUAGUAGGUGGGUAAAACACUGGGAACAGGGAGAUGAUGAGUUGAGUCAAAAGGGAACUGUCACAGUGGAGGAAUGUCACUGGCCUUGGGAAUAAUUCUGUUCACAGUAAUGGCUCCAGCUCAGCAAAAAAAGCAGCGUGAAAAAAGGAAGUUUGCUGAUUAAAUGCAUUUAGGAGAAUUACUCACAGGCUGGAACAGAGAAAUGUAAGAUCCUGUUCUUCACUGCUGUUACCAGGAAUUUCUGCUCUACACAGAGAUUCAGUGGUUAGAAAUGACAGAAGAGAAGACAGAUCUGGGUGCAUUUAUCAUUCACAGGAUGCUUAUGAAGCACCAAUGUGACAUGAUCACAAAGACAACAGUCUUAAAGAGAUCAUUACGUUAAUUUCAUUUAGGAUGCUCUACACAAUUUGUCACCCAUAUUUGGAAGUGAGCUCGAGGCUAGCAGCAGCAUAUAGAAGCCAUAAUAACACUGUCUGUCUGUAUGUCUCCCCCCAGUUCCUAGUGUGAGCAGACAUGGAGAAAGGUUCACUUCUUUAGCUUAGGAAAAGGCUGAAAUAGGUGAAUGUCUCUCUAGAAAUCUGUUUGAUGGGUGGGGAUGUUCCCUGUGAAAUGAGCUGUUGUAGAAGAGAAGCAGCUCAGCCAUAAUUGAGCUGGGGAGGCCCUUUCUCUUCAGACUUUAAUUUUUUUUUAAAGACCCUGCAAGUCCAGGUGCUUAUUUACCUCUCCCUGCAAUUGGUGCGCCUCCUUGGAAAGCAAAGCAGUUUAGCAUGACAAGCAGCAUAUCAUUAUGAGAAAAGAGAUGCUGAAUGCAAGCCCACAUUUUCCUAAUUCAUCCCCCAAUGAGUUCUUUUCUUAAAGGAUAAGAGAUCAAGCCAAACUCUUGUGUUCUCUGUGUUGGCAAUUGCUUGGUGUUUCUCCCACGUAACACCCAGCUCCUGUAAGCCCUUUGAGGAAGCAAAAUUAAAAACCAGCGUCUCAAAAAAAUCUUGGGUCUCUGGAGAGCUGCACAAAAGUCCUUCUGAACUAAACGUACUACACGCACCUGCGCAGAUAGCACAGCUGAAAGGUUUCAUCUUGCUAGUUUUCAGCACUCAGGGGGACAGGUAAUGGGUCCUGAACUGGUUUCUACCCAGCAGAGUUAGCUCUAGUCUAACAUCUGACUGGGCGGAGGGGAGGCAUUGAAUAGAGCUUGCUGCGGUUUGCUUCUGCCAAUGAUUUCUGAGGUUUGUUUAAUUUAAUUGGGGGAAAUGAAAUUGGGACGAGACCUCAGGCAAUCAUCUAAUUCAUCUUUCUGAUCCAGAGACAAGAUUAAGUAAACACAGAUCAUCCCUGACAGAUAUUUGUUGAACCUGUUCUCAGCAGCCUCCAGUGACAGUGAGAGGAAUCCCUAGGCCAAUCGAGUCCAGCAUUUUAUUAGUGGCUAGUUAAAUAGCUUAUCCUACCAUUCAACCUAAACUUUCGCUGAUGAUCUGUUGAUUCCGCAGCCCCGCUGGAAAUGCCUUUCCACUCUGACAGCUCAGUCUUCCCAAACCAGUUAUGUACACUUUUCGGCAAUGGUAUGCACCUUUUGGCAAUUUCAUCUCAACUGUGUUUGUUUCCCGGUUUGUUUAUGAGAACUUCACGCUUUUCAGUGUAACAAAAACCUUAAAGUCAAGACAUAUCACAUCCACUACUUCCCCCCCAGUCUGCUAGGCCAGUUAUCCUGUCAGAGACGGGAGUUACAUCAGCCUAACAUGAUCUUCCUGACAAAUUGAUCUUAGAGGAGUUUUUUCAUGUAAGAAAUAUAUAUUAGAGAGGAAGCUUGUUCCUACGUACAACUACUACCUGAAAGGGAUGGGAAAAGAGAUGAGGGGCUUGGGGCUGUGGCAGGCUGAAGGGGAAGGAGGCAGAAAGAGUCACGAUAAAAUGCAGUGCUACCCAAGCAGUCUUUGGUCAGGAUCCUGGGCUAAGAGGGGCUGCCAGGAAUGCCUUGAAUAAAUGCCAAAAGCUUGGAAGGAAAGUCUGCUACAACGGUAGCAGUCUGUAAUGUCAGAUGUACAUCAAACCUGUAUACUGCGAAUACCUCCGGGAUUCAUUGCAGACUCUGACACACUGAGAGGUUUUCAGAGUAACACACUUGGGCUGAGUCACUCUGGGCAGCUUUUCAGGUUUCAGCUGCUCUUGCAGUCCUUUCUUUACUGUAUCCCAAAGCUUUGCUAGUAUCUGGAACAGAUCCCUCUGGGCAGGGUGCCCAAGUUUCAGAUAAAUGUAAUAUUGAUGGAAGUAAUUUUUCAGAUGUGUUCACAACAUCAUUGGGGAAAACUUUCUGAUUUCCCAGGAUCACUCCAUAGUCCUCUUCAUGGUCUAGUCUGCAAAGAGCUAAGCCCAGCAGCGGUAGUGUUACCUGAUCACAGCACAUCUUGCAAGCUUUCCACUGCUUGUCAUUCCGUAUCAUCUCUCUGCAUUCUGCUGUUUCCUCAACAGGGAAGGUCGAGGCAGGUGGUUAGUCAUGUGGCAGGAGGUGGCAGUUCCUGAUGAGCAAGUUACAGACAGCUUCUCUGCCACCAUGUCCUUCUUCCUUGUGCCAAACCGAUCCUUGUCUCGUUCCACCUCCACCUGGGAUGGGGAAGAUGUCUUAACCUUGUUGCAAGAGGGCACAGCUGAGACCCAGCCUACCAUCUCCUAUGUUGGUGUCCCAGAAGUGUGGCUAUAUCUGUACUAAGUAAACAGGCUCAGGACACAGGGCUGAGCCGUAAUGUACAAUCACCCAUUCUGUCAAACAGCUGGUGCAGUUUUGGCCCAGUCCGAUUGCUGCUGCAGGAAACAUUGCCCAGGUGUGGCUGCUGAGGUGGCAGACACCAGGGGCCAUUCCCAGGAAGUGGAUUUCACAUGGCUCUUCUGUUUUGGAGAUAAGCAAGUUCAGCUACCUGUAUCUAUGAACAAGAUCUGUCCAUUUGAUGGAGCACUGUCCUUUGUUCAUUUUAUAGGCUCAGUCUUUGUUUUCCUGGUGCUUUACAGUGCAGUAUGGUUUCUGGGUACUUUUCCCUUGUUCAAGUUGAGCAGACAGUAGUUAUGAACUCAUUCCUGGGACUUCUUGAUAGACCCAGAAGCUGUACUCCAGGAUUACUUACUGCCACAUUUUUUCCAGCUAGGAGCACCUCUGACUUCUAAUACUGAUUUGCGGAUCCAGAAGUUGCCAGGUUUCUGCCCUGAGGGAUGUGAGGCUCUGAGACAUGUUUCCUGCCUGAGUUGUCACCUGAGCAGUGAGCAUUUUACAGAUUUAAGUUCCUGUCGUGCCUAAUUCCUAUUGGUCUGACUGGGCUUCUCCUCCAAGGCAGGCUGGUAUUAUGAUCCCCACAUCCUCGUGGCUGUUAUCAGUCUCAUCUAGAUGCUCAAGAGUCCCUAGAAAAUCUUUUGCAUCAUCGCCAGGCCUCAUUUUAGCAAGGAUUCCUGUGUUUUCUAGGGAUAUCUUCUGCACUGCAGUCACCUGGGGUUUUGUUUCCUCCAGCCUCACAGACAGAGUGAGUAUCUAUCUGUCACAGAAGCUUUGGCUCUGUCUGGGGAGCAGCUGCUGCCUAACAAAUUGCUCUGUGCUUGGUCCCUCUCUCCUUUUUCCAGAGUGGAGCCUUUCAGGCCUGCCAGAUGACAGCUAGUUCCAGCUUUCUGCACCCAUUUGUCAUGGCAAGCAUGAUGAGUUGCCCUUCUAGGUCUGCAAAGUGCCCAUUCUAGGAGAAGGGAAGGUCUUGCAGACAGUCCACGUGUAAAAAACUCCAGGAAGUAGGCAAUAAAUUUAAAGAAUACUACUCGACACUACCAAACUGCUGGAGAUCAGGAGCCCAACACAAAGCCUGGUUGGGAGAGAAGGAUGCUGAGCAGCCUGUCUAGGGCAGGGCCUGAUCUGUGACUACAUUUCAUGCUAAACCUCCUGUAAGGCACUGCUUAGGAUAUAUGUACCUAGCAGCAAUGACUAUAAGAAACAACUUUCUACACACUAGGAGUUUUUAAGGCAUUAAUGGCUUAAUGCAGUGAGAGGAAGAUGAGCUGGAAAUGGCAACAGCAUAGAGAAUCAGGGAGGGAGAUGGAGUGGGAGCCACUCUGACCAUUCUUCUAUGCUUGAAGCUACUGCAAUCACCUCGUAUUAAAACUGCGAAAAUUUUGGGCCCUGGCCCUUGUCUGUUGAGCAUCCCUGUGACCCUGCUGGCAAUCCUGGCCUGAAUUCCCUGUUCAUAAUAUAGAGAGUGCAAGAUGGGAGUGAAGCUCAUGUCAACCAGCUGGUAUCCUUCAUUGCAGACACAACAGCCUCCAUGGUAAAGCAACAUGACUACAGCUGCAUAAAAGGGCAAACAGCUUCCUGCUGCCAGGAAGCAUGCAAGUCCUCCACAGCUAUGGCAGAGCCAAAUCUGCUGCGCUAGCUACACUUGCCGUUGAAAAUGCCUCUCGCUCCCCUCAAUGAUGUUGUACUGAAACAGAUUAGGGAGUGCCUGCAGUGAACACUGGUGCUGUUCUUCCCAGAGGACUGGUGCCACGUGGUUGCACUUUUAUGAGCUGACUCCUACAAGAAACAUUUGCUUUCAGUGCUGUUGCAGGGAGAAGGAUGCCUGCUGAAAUCGUUACCCCAGGAUGUCCUAAUCGUAUCAUUUCCUUUGGUCUUUGAAUGUGCUGCAUUGAAAUUGCCUGGAUAUCCCAUAGACAGAAACACCUUGCUUUUCAUCACAGAGGUGGGAGUCAGGCAGCCCCCCAACCUACACCCAAAGGAGUUGCUCUCCCCUCCCCUGCUCACUUCCUACUACACUCGGCAUUCUGCAGUGUGUCCCAGAUAAUGCUCCCCUCCGCUCAUUGCAGAAUGCUUUAUACCUGAUGCAGCAAACGCAGCUGGAGGGCUGGCAGGCCCGCUGGCAGCUGCCAGCUCCAGAGGAGCAGAGGUAAGGUUGCCUGGGCGUGUACCUCAACUCUAAAUGUCCUGUUUUUCCAGGAGUUUGAGUUUUGAUGAACUCAAUGUUCUGAGAAGGAAUGAGCUAUCACUAAGCAACAUUAACUCUGUGUUAACAAAGGGUUUUGUCAUUGAGUUUAAACUUAAGGACAACGCUGGCACAAGGAUAAAUUAUCAUAGGCUGGGCCAUGAAUACACUGAGACUGGAAAUUAGAAGGAACUUCUUACCCCACAGUGCGAGGAUCUGGAACAGCCUUUGAAUAGCAGCAGUGAGGAAAGGAGACUGAGCUUGAUUUGAGACUGGAGUCAGGAAGUCUCUGAGUGGGAGUACGCAAUGGGGCUGCCUGUCAUGGCCUGGGAAAUGGCUGUCAGUCCUCUAUUCUUAUGUAAUCGCAGGACGUUUUCAUAACAUCUUUGCUCUUAAUGCAGCACAAGCCAAGAAGGAUGCCUGGGGCUUGCCUGGGAAUGGUGCUAGCUGUUUGGGUCUAUGGGAAGGGUGCCCAAGGGAGGCUGCAGAGUGCUACAGGGCUGUAAUUAUCCAGGGAGCAAAGACUCAUCCCAGAGGCUGUACUGCCACCUCCUGUGAGCAGAGAGCUAGCAUGGGAAUUGGAGACAACCAUAUGUGACAGGCAGGCCCAGGCCCAUGCACCUCAGGUGACAACUAGGCUUCGUGUAGAUAUUACAUGUUUUCUGAUGCGCAGAAGAGGGCUCCUUCAUGCUGUAACCCAGGAAAGCAGGCACUUUUGUGAGCUAGGCGCUUUUGGGCUCUGAGGUAGUCCUGUUUCCCCAGGUCCAGCCCCAACCUCAAGCAGCUCUGACUGCUUGCUCUGCUGGGGGCCAACCAGCCCAUGAGCCACAUGCUGAAAUCUCCUGAGAACCAAGAGCCAUGAGAUGCAGACCUGCAGUGCUGAGACAAGGGGAUACCCUGGGAACCAAGGAGAAAGGCGAUUGUAGUUCUCCUGGGGCAGCCUCAGGCUAGACGUGCAGCUGCAUCCUGGAGUGAAUCAGCAGCAUCUCUCCUAGCAGCACCCCCUGUCUUGCUCCCUCCCAUGGCUAGAGGUGGAGACCAGCCCAGCACCCACAGCCCGGUGAAACAGCACGCAGCUCCUGGUCACCCUAGACUAUGGUGUCGCUAGGUACCAGCCUGCGCGCUCAGUUGUCCAAAGCAGAAAUCCUCACAUGAAAUAUUCCAGUGCCAGGUCUCAAUGGAUUAUACAAGCUGAGGAUAAAAUGGGAGUUAUAGCAAAUUCUGUGGUUGACUGUUUCUUUUCUCUUUCUUAUAGAAGAUUAAGGCAUUGCUGGAGUGACGUCUACAUCUUCCUCAAUGAUGAAGGUUAGGGGUUUCAAGCCUAGCUGCUGACUCAUAACCAAGAAGAAGAAAAAAGGGAAAAUUAGCAUGAGGAAUGUUGCUGAAAUGGCUUGUAUGUGUUUAGUGAUUAAUCUAAAUAGUGUAUUGCUGUCUGUGUUAUGGCUGGUGUGUUUCCUAGGUGUUUUUAAUGGAAUCUGAUCUUUUAAGAACAUGGGGCUCCCGUAUGUAGAACCUGUAUCUGCAGAUCCACCACCAGGAAAGGCAGAUCUUUAAGAAAAACUUUUCCAGGAAACAAGUUUAAUUCCUGACAUUGCAACACCAGUGUUUUUUUCUGAGCCUAGAUGCCUUAGGACAUUUUACUGAGCUAAUGAGCCUCUGGAUGGUAGAUCACUGGUCAGAGUGUAGCCUGGCUCUGCAGGGAUUAAAAAUCACUCCCAGUGGGUGCAUGUCUGCAGGCCCUCCUAGGACAUGUGUUUGGUGGGACUGUGUGCCAUCUUCCUUGUUAAAUACUUGUUCCCUGACUGCACUAACUGGCAAACUCAGCAGAGAGGCCUGGAAGGUGACCUUGAGCUAAGCCAUGUCACCUCCAGCGGAUGUCGCCUCUGGAUCAAGGCUGAGGCAGGCGGGGGAGGCUCGGGCUGCUGCUCCUGAGAUAACUGGAAGGAUCAGGGAAGCUGGGUGACUGCUCAGUCUAAACAAUGGCUUCAGAGCCAGAGCUGUGAUCGUACUCAAAUUAAUUUCAAAUAGGCACAGUAACAUAAGAAGCAAUUUGCAUAAGACGUCACAUGGAUUCGCAUACAAUUUUGCAUAUUUUAAAAAAAUAUAAUAAUGCAUAGCUCGGGUGGGUACGUGAAAUCAUUUGUGCAGCGAACCGUGCAGAGAAACAACGUGCAAUUAUCACAGAAGAAGAAAACAAAUGACAGCAACCACCCAGUCAGCUAAGAAGUCAGGAAGCACCAGCCCCUUCCUUCAUCCACCCUCUGGACAGAUGCUUGGAUUUAUGCUAUCAUUUCAUGAACAUGUGCUACUUUUCCACCAGUUGCCCCUCUGGUGCAGAGAAAGGAUGCUGCUCUCUGUAUUGUGCCACUACUUACUCCUUCACAUUUACAUCUUUGGCUUCAUCUUUCUGUGGUUCCAGAACACCUGAUGGGUCGUUCUCUGUGUGCUUUCUACUGCAUUCGUCACUGAGCCUGAGAGAUUCAUCUCUCAGCAUAUGCCACUCCAAGUGGUACUGCUGUUGCCUUUUGGGUGCAAAAACUAGAGGCCUAAAUACUAGCUCUGGAAGCCCAAGGACAGACACUGACAGCCUUAUCUUUGGUGGUCCCAGUGCUGUGCAUGUUGUUUGUGCUUCUGUAGAUCAGAUCACACAGUUCUCAGCUCCAGGAAAAUGAUGACAGAACAAAUAACAUUAAAAAAGGAAGCUGGCAAGAAAAAGCUUUCCAGGGAACAUCAGGACAGCUGAGACCUUUUAACCUGCAGAAUGCACUUACACCACUUCACCUACAUUUCAGAGCAGUCCUGCAUUUCUGACACAUGGAUGGGAUCUCGGUUUCUGUCUUCACUGGAGCAGCAAUUCUGAACUGCAAGGGCUGAGCCAUGAGCACAUGCAGUAGCAUCUGCAUCCCCCUCCCUCCUCACCAAGCUGUGGGAGCAGCAGCCAGACUCUGCAGCCAUCAAGGGACUUUGGACCUCAAACUGGACUGGCUGCCCUAGAGCAUCUUCUUUCCUGUCACUGGAGCUCUACCCAGGAGCCACAGAAAUGCAGGACAGAUUCCCAGAGGAGAGAAUGACAUUUGUUCCCCUGCCAGAUCCCUUGUGCGGAUUGAUCUGAAGUUGAAGAUGGUUUUGCUUGUAUUCUGGUCACUCCCUGAGCAUGCUGGGCUUUGGAUCAAUGUGGAACGUGUCACUGAAUGGUCUAUUAUUCACUGAGCACGAUAUGCGCUUGGAGACACAGCAGCCCUUAAUAGAGGCUCAAUUCUGCCUCUGAGGAUCAAAGCAGGAAUAAACCAAGGGAACAACUCUACUCCAUUACAUGACACCAAAAUGAGUGGCUGCUUGUUUCAGGAUUAUUCUUCCUGGCAAUUUCCAGUUGUGCAUUGCUCCUAAUUAAACUGCCACCUACAAAGUCACAUCCCUUUAGGAGGGUGCAGGAGGCAUCUCUAACUUAAGCUGACUGGCCCCCUUGCACCUAGGCUUGCACUUGAAUGAGCACAGCUCAUCCAGUGCUGCCAUGCCCAGUCUAGACUGUGGGCCCAUGGAGCCCAGUGAAGCCCAGCAGCUCCACAAGUGCUUUCCCACCACCACCCUGGUGCCCGCAGCCUUGGGCCAGUUCUCUCGUAUAGCAUGUUGCAAAGGCACACAAAAUUGCAAUAACCAGCAGGCGCAGGCCCACAAAGGAGUGCAGAGCCAGAGGGUAUGGAGUCCUAAUUCCCAGCCCAGACAUGCCAACUCUAGAAAAGUUCCUUGUUCUUCUAGGGGAGGCAAGGGAAUGCUCUAGCUUGCUGCCAGACAUCUGUAUUGACAGCCACUUCCAGUAGGCAGUUGCCUGAUUUCUUUUUGUGAUGGGACAAUUUAUUGCAGGUUAGAAAAGCACUUAGCUGGGGGGAAUCCCAGCUUUGGGAGGCACUUUGAUUAUGUCUUUCUGAAGUGCUCUCUUUCCCAGGAAAUCACAGGGGCCAGCAAUAACUUGUGCUUGUUUUUCAGCCCCUUGCUGGGGUGAUUUCCGUGUGUUUUGAUGUGGCUGUAUAGUUUUUAUGUGUUCUUUGAUUUAAUUGUUCCCAUCAAUUCCUUCCAUCUCCUCUGCCCCUCGUCCAAUGUGCUCCUCUGCUCUAGUGCCUCGUCAGAGAGUGAGAAGGAAAGGGGGUCCUGGGGAAGGAGGCAGGGCUGGAAGCAGGUUGGAAGGAUGGGAAGUCAGUGUGAGCAGGUGGGCAAGAGAGACAGAUCAAGGAGUGGUGAUGGGAAGGGACUGCGCCAGGCACUCAAUGUGUCAGAAAGCCAGAAGAAAAAGGAGCAACUCAUGGAGCUUCUCCUGUGAGGCAGGGAGCGAGUCCUGGUGGAGAAAAGCAGUAUUUCACUGAGUGCUGGCAGCCUCUGUCUCUGCUGAGAGGACAACAGAGAAAAAGCAUCUGAUAACAGAGAAGCCAUCAGCAAGGGCUGAAGCUCUAGCUGGAAGCAGAUGAGGUUUGUAUAAGACAUUUUGCUGUACUGAUGAGUUUAUGAGUCUUUAAUUUCAGGACCAUAAGAAUAUAUCACCUCUUCAGUCAAGUCUUCCUUGCCCGCCCAGCCCAAGAGCCUCCAUGUGUAAUUAAUUGGAGAUGAUCACCCUGGAAGAAGGGUCUGACAAGCCAUCUAUAAUAACAAGGAUGAAGAGACUUCUUCCUCCUGCACUCAGCACAGGAGCAAAAAUAGAUGUCAUUCUGCCUCUCAUGAGCACAGGCCCUGCGACAGCUGCCACAGGCACGUGUCUGCUUGCUGAUGGGCCUGGGGCCACCUCCAGUCCACAGAGGCCCUGUGCAGUAAGCGAGGUGCCACUUGGAGGGCGGCUGACCCUGCAGUGAUGCUGAGUGUGGUCUCUACCUCCAGGGAUCGCGUGUUGUCAGUGGAGCACCCACUUCCCAGUCCUGGUGGGUUACAGCCCCCGCUCAGCAACACAGCUGCCCUCUGCAGUGGGCAGAGACUCAAGGGAAGGACCUGGGGAAGAUGCAUAGAGGCCCCAGAAGAUCAGGAGGAGGCAUCCUGCUUCAGCACAGUGCAGUCCCCAGACAUUACCUGGAAGUACAGCUCCUAUCAGUGGUAUGAAUAGGCUCCAGGACAGCAAUGACUGGGCUCUUGGUUCCUUGACUGGGCAGAGGCCUGAAGAAAGGAGGUCUGUCUCCUCUAGCAGAAGCACCAGGGAAAUAUUUGGGGAGGGAGAAAGAGCACGGAGCUAUUUUCAGUAAGACAUGGCUUAGAGGAGGUGUCAGGCUCGCUUUAUCCUCCUUGCAGCAGGCAGAGACCCCAGGACAGUGUCUGAAGCCAGGUCUGGGCUAGAGAGCCUGCUCCUUCCUCCAGCAGGAGAGCAGCAGAGCAAGGACAUCUCCAGUGCCUAGCAAGAUUCAGACAGUGAGUGGGCAGGGGAGUAGGGGGCCAGGUGCCAUCCCCAGUGCCUGGCAAUCCUCAUGCAAUUGCCAGGGAACACAGCCCUUAAAAUCUGCCACGAUGUCUGCUGCUGGUCUGUAGCAUCCCCCUGCUUGCCCACCCCUGUGCUGAUAGCUGCCAGAGCUUGUGAAGUGGGAGAGUUAUGGGAGACAAGGAUGCUUAAUUACAGAGCAGCCCUGGAAACCAGCAACGGCAGCGGCACUGUGGCCAGGAGGGGAGGCAGCAGGGCUGUAAAUAGAAAAUGCGGAGGCAGCCGCGGGGAACAGAGUGAGGGAGGUUUCUGCUCCUGCAUUUCUCUGCCUCCCUCCCUUCCUUUCAGCUUCUCUCACCUCUCACAGCAAUCCUGGCUCCCAGCAUGAACCAACGUGUUACAAGCAGUCCCUUAGUGUGGCCUGGAAACAGCAGCUUCAGUGCCAAAACAGCCACUCAGGGCUGAGAAGUUGGUGUGUGAGGCCCCAGCAGCCUCCUCAAGCAGGGGAUGCCUCCCGUGGAAAUCUGUGAGAAGGCUUGAAUGGCCUCAUCAGCUUGUGAGGAGACCCAAGUGAGACAGACAUGGGACCAAACUGUCCUGUCUAACCACCUAGAGCAGGCCACAGGAUGCCAAAUGUCUGGACCCCAAUCCCUCUACAGCGUCCGCAGAGGGAAGUCCUUCUCCUCCCACCCUUGACCUUUCCAUUAUGGCCUCUUCUAAGCAGCAAGAGCUCAGUUUUCAG